CCUACGGGAGGCAGCAGUGGGGAAUAUUGGGCAAUGGGCGCAAGCCUGACCCAGCAACGCCGCGUGAAGGAAGAAGGCUUUCGGGUUGUAAACUUCUUUUGACAGGGAAGAGCAGAAGACGGUACCUGUCGAAUAAGCCACGGCUAACUACGUGCCAGCAGCCGCGGUAAUACGUAGGUGGCAAGCGUUGUCCGGAUUUACUGGGUGGAAAGGGCGUGUAGGCGGGCUUACAAGUCAGAUGUGAAAUCCGGGGGCUCAACCCCCGAACUGCAUUUGAAACUGUUGGUCUUGAGUAUCGGAGAGGCAGGCGGAAUUCCUAGUGUAGCGGUGAAAUGCGUAGAUAUUAGGAGGAACACCAGUGGCGAAGGCGGCCUGCUGGACGACAACUGACGGUGAGGCGCGAAAGCGUGGGGAGCAAACAGGAUUAGAUACCCCUGUAGUC
rnacentral:rRNA from 1 species